ensembl:lncRNA
AAAAAAAGAGAGAGAGAGAGAGAGAGAGAGACUUUUUAGUAAUUAGUGCGACAUAAUUGAGUAAUGCGGUAGCUCCUCGCCCCCCCCCCCCAUCCCCCCCACACCCUCUCUUUCCCACCUCCCCCCCUGCUCUUCUUCUUCCCCGAUCGAUGCAAUAUCAUUAGGGCGAGAGGCAUUGGGGCAGCGCUCGGGGGGCCCGAACCGCUGCCGGUACCGGGGGGGUCCCGUAAGGCGUCGCUCCGUCCCCACCGACCCGACCCGGCAGCGCUCCGAAGCCGCGGGGGUGGGCGCGGGGUUCGGUGCCCCAUCUCGGAGCCGGUUCCUCUCCCCUUCUUCCCAUCCAUUCGACAGCUGGAUGCUAUUGAUCCUUUCCCUCUCCUCCUUUUUUCCUUUUUUUUUUUCCCUUCCCGAGCUCCCUCUCCUCUCCCUUUAAUUCCCUCCGUUCCUCCGGAGGAGCCGCCCGGUGCCGGGGGAAGAACCCGAAAGGCAAAACGACGCGGCCCCAAAUAAGAGGCGGAGGAGCACCUGCGGGUGAGAUUUAUGGCAUCCAGCGAACAGAAAGGUUAAAUGUGAGGCCGGAUCGAUCUUCCCCCCAUCGCCGUCCCUCCCCACUGCCCGCAGCCGUCCUGGAGGACGCGGCGCAGCCUGAAGUGGCCAAGUGACCACGCAGGACCACGGGACCCGAAGAUGCUGCUGACCAAUGGCCGCCCAAAGGAGCCCCUGUUGCUUAGCAACCCGGCUGCAGAGAGAGAGGGAGAGAGCGCAAAAAGAUGGAUUUUCAGAUUGCAGCAGCCAAGCAGAUCAAUUCUGCAACAUGGGCUACAGUGGCCAAGCGGAAUCUCUCUUGCUCCCAGCAGGUAUUGAUCCAGCCAUGCUAUAGGCAUUGAAUGAGCUCUAAUAAGUCCUGAGUAAACAGGAACAAGGACUUAAGUGAUAGCCCAGCAGUCAAACAUCAACUCCCUUUGUCUUCUUCUUCCUCUUCUUUUUUUCUUCUUCUUCUUCUUCUUUUUUUUUUUUUAAUUGCUGAAACCUUUGCAAGAAAACGACAAUAAAGUUUAUUGAUAGAGAAAUGAA